rnacentral:rRNA from 1 species
UACAGAGGUCCCAAGCGUUGUUCGGAUUCACUGGGCGUAAAGGGCGCGUAGGCGGCCCGCUAAGUCGAACGUGAAAUCCCCAGGCUCAACCUGGGAACUGCGUCCGAUACUGGCAGGCUUGAAUCCGGGAGAGGGAUGUGGAAUUCCAGGUGUAGCGGUGAAAUGCGUAGAUAUCUGGAGGAACACCGGUGGCGAAGGCGGCAUCCUGGACCGGCAUUGACGCUGAGGCGCGAAAGCUAGGGGAGCAAACGGG